GUGCGAUCAAACUAGCACUAAUGCACCGGAUUCCAAUAGAACUUCGCUGUUAAGCGUGCUUGGGCGAGAGUAGUAUUAGGAUGGGUGACCUCUUGGGACCUGGAGUAUUUUCGAGCU
rfam:Lupinus angustifolius cultivar Tanjil contig_4178, whole genome shotgun sequence.